CGUGACGGCUGCUCCCGGUGCCGUCACAGGCGGGCGCGGCGUACGUAGUGCUGCGGGGCUGCGGAGAUCAGCCCGAGGCAAACACUCACCAUGAAAAAGUUCUGAGCACACACUCUGGGGAAAUGUAAACAACUGAGAAAAGCAAUUUUGUGGGAAGUGGUGUGGAGCAGCCGUGGUUUGAUGGUCGUGAGACCAGUCACAUCUUCCAGUCGCUCCUCUCCUCCUGAGGUGUUCCCAAAGGAUUGCCAGCAUUCUGAGAGCACGGCGUACCCUGGUGAGCUACAUCUGGGCUCUGCUACCAAGAGUUGUGUAUCUGUGCUUGCAGACAGUUGGUCUGCCAUAAACUGUGACAUCCAGGGGUUGGAGGAGGUAAGAGAGAG
rnacentral:lncRNA from 1 species